CAGCAAAACCCAAAACCCUGCUGCUCAGCCACCACCGACCGCCUCCCUCCACAACCGCGGGUGACCACCUGCGUGCUGCGCAACCACCAACCACAGAACCCUCACCGUCGCAACUCCCUCCCUUCCUCUCUUCCUCUUUCAAUUCGCACGGAGUUAUCCCUCCUCCUUUGCGUGCUUCUCUCACCACCACCGACAGCAAUCCCAGCAGCCACCGAGCUUUCGACUGCCGGCGACCAAUCACUCGACCACCGGUCGUCCUCCGUCGCAACCACCGAGGCUCACCACCAAUCCCGCCGGCCACCUGCGCCGCCUGCCACCGCCGAGCAGUAGCACCGCAAUUUCUCUGCUGACGCCGGCAGUCUCUCUCCUCCUCUCCUUUUGGCGGAGAAUUCUUUGUAGGCGACUUUGAAUUCGUUAAAGUAGCCUAUCAGUUUGUUUACACAAGUCUCUAAGGAUCAAUAAACAUUGUCCAUAUGCAGGUUUGAAGAUGUUGCAUCAUUGGGAUCGGGAAUAGAUAGCUUGUAUUUAGUUUUGAUUUGCUAAGUUGACUUGGGUUUGUUUAAUUGGACUUUAAACUUGUCGUACUAUUUAUAUUUCCUUAUUUUCUUUGGUUGAUUUUUGGGACUAAACCUGUAAUCGAUUAUUUAUAAACCUAAAUUUAGUUUUAUG